UACGUAGGGGGCGAGCGUUGUCCGGAGUUACUGGGCGUAAAGCGCACGCAGGCGGUCUGCUAAGUUUGGAGUGACAGUUGGUGGCUUAACUGCCAAAGUGCUUCGAAAACUGACAGACUUGAGGGCUUCAGAGGGACACGGAAUUCCGGGUGGAGUGGUGAAAUGCGCAGAUAUCAGGAGGAACACCGGUGGCGAAGGCGGGUCUCUGGGCCGAUAUUGACGCUGAGGAGCGAAAGCGUGGGGAGCAAACAGG
rnacentral:rRNA from 1 species